GAAGGUAUAGCUCAGUGGUAGAGUGCGAUGCAUGAGGUCGUGGGUUCAAUUCCCAGCACCUCCA
rnacentral:tRNA from 1 species